AAGUCGUAACAAGGUCUCCGUUGGUGAACCAGCGGAGGGAUCAUUACUGAGUCAUGUGCUCAAACAACCCUUCUGUGGACCUGAAUUAAACCGUUGCCUCGGCGGGCGGUCCCCUGCCAAAACCCACGUGGUUGUGGACAGAGGACCAGACAGUCCGGCACGCUUAAGGCGUCCGGCGCCAGCCGCUGGCCCUAACCAAUUAAACUCUAGUAACCUUACCUUCUGAGUUUUAAUACAAAAAAAAUAAGUCAAAACUUUCAACAACGGAUCUCUUGGCUCUG
rnacentral:misc_RNA from 1 species